rnacentral:tRNA from 1 species
GACCGCGUAGCUCAGUUAGCAGAGCAUUGGGCUGGUAUUCCAAAGAUCGUAGGUUCGAUUCCCACCGUGGCCA